rnacentral:pre_miRNA from 1 species
UAACAUCCGCAGGCCGGCCUCCAGGCUGAGCUGGGCAAGUAUCUCUUCGAAAGGCUUGCCCUCAAGCAUGACUAGGAGC